rnacentral:rRNA from 1 species
AACGAACGCUGGCGGCGCGUCUUAAGCAUGCAAGUCGAACGGCAAGAUUGGUGCUUGCACCGAUCCUAGAGUGGCGGACUGGUGAGUAACGCGUGGGUGACGUACCCUAAGGAUGGGGAUAGCUGAUAGAAAUAUCAGAUAAUACCGAAUAUCCUUAUUGUUGUUAGAGGACAGUAAGGAAAGGAGCUUUGGCUUCGCCUAAGGAUCGGCCCGCGUACUAUUAGCUAGUUGGUGAGGUAACGGCUCACCAAGGCGACGAUAGUUAUCCGGCCUAAGAGGGUGAACGGGCACAGUGGGACUGAGAUACGGCCCAGACUCCUACGGGAGGCAGCAGCUAAGAAUAUUCCGCAAUGGAGGAAACUCUGACGGAGCGACGCCGCGUGGAUGAUGAAGGCCGGAAGGUUGUAAAAUCCUUUUAAGCAAGAAGAAUAAACUUUACAGGGAAUGGUAGAGUGGUGACGGUAUUGCUUGAAUAAGCAACGGCUAAUUACGUGCCAGCAGCCGCAGUAAGAC